UAUUGGGCAUCGAAAUAUAAAGAAAGGAAGGGGCCCAACCUUGAAGAAGAACAUAUAUUCAAGUAGUGGUGGGCCUAAAAUCUGCAUUACCCUUAAUGAAUAUGGACAACCAGUUGGUAGGAACAACAAAGAGUUUGGUAAUUUCAUAGGAACUUUGGUGAGGAAAAAUAUCCCGGUUUCUUGUGAGGAUUGGAGACUAGUUGAUUCUAAAAAGAAGUUUGAGUUAUGGACAAAAGUGAAGGAAUACUAUGAAGUGGAUGAAUCUGGUAUAGAUUAUGUUAUAACAUCUGCAG